rnacentral:rRNA from 1 species
GACGAACGCUGGCGGCGUGCCUAAUACAUGCAAGUCGGACGAGUUGCGAACGGGUGAGUAACGCCUAGGCAAAUGCCGAUAAGACGGGGAUAACUAUUGGAAACGAUAGCAAAUACCGCAAACUAGUAGAUGGACCUGCGUUGUAUUCGCUAGUAGGUAGGGUAAUGGCCUACCUAGGCAACGAUACAUAGCCGACCGGAGAGGGUGAUCGGCCACACUGGGACUGAGACACGGCCCAGACUCCUACGGGAGGCAGCAGUGGGGAAUAUUGCACAAUGGGCGCAAGCCUGAUGCAGCCAUGCCGCGUGUAUGAAGAAGGCCUGCGGGUUGUAAAGUACUUUCAGCGGGGAGGCGUUACCCGCAGAAGAAGCACCGGCUAACUCCGUGCCAGCAGCCGCGGUAAUUC